UCCCAUGGUGCAAUGUUUCUUGAGAGCACAACCCCAUGGUCAACUGAAAACUGUGCACAGACUUGCUCCUACUCCUUCUUGGUAUUCUCUAACUUGCUAUUUUGAUGAGAUCAGUUGUUACUCCUACGUGAGAUUUAUUUUUAAAGAUUUUUCUGGCUUAGCUCUACCUUUUAUCCCUAUUCUUGGUUUUCAGCCAUAAUCUUUGCUGGAGUCUCUUUUAAUUUAUCUACUAGCUUGCUAUGAAAGGGAUCAAUAAGCCACUAACCUUACAAAUACUUGUUAUGUUACUGAUUGAGGAGUAAAUGACUAUUUUUUACUAGGUUCUGCUGAAGGUGAUAAAAGUUCCUAUUAAGAUGCCAGGAACUGAAGGAUUAUUUCCUUCUCUGAAAUUUAAGAUCGGUAUAGAAUAUAAACCCAAGUGAGACUUGAUGUGCCAAGGCAAGUUGUUACUGAGGGGGUAGGUGGUUGGGGGACUGGGAAGUGAUUGAGGUAUAACAGGAAUAAAUAAAUAAAUAAAUGAAAACAUCAACCAAACAAAGACAGCAUUUCAUCUCUUUGUUCUUUGUUAUGAUAGUUUGCACCUUUUGCUAAAUAAAUUAGUUGUAUGUAUUUGGCCAAGUUCACAGGAGCAUGUGAACUGGGAAUGAAAGAUUUGAAAUAGUUUCCUUCAUAUAUAUCUUUUCUUCUGACACUUUUGAAAGAUUUCCAUCAUAAUUUCAGAAUAUGAAAAUAAUAAUUUCUUCUAAGAAGCCUGAAAAUCCUGAGGUACUAUUUCAAGGGUUUUGGAAUCGUUGAGGUUAGAAGUUAUAUUUUGCCUGUAUUUUGAGAAGAUAUGUCAUAAUGCUUCUUAAAAUAUGGAAAUACCAAUUUUGAAAUAUUGAAUGUGGUAAUAGUGUACUAAUUCCUUAGGACAAUGAACUCUCUUAUUUAAAACUUAUUUUUGCAUAUGCACAAACUACUUUUUCUCUUCUGAAUAUAUUGUACUUUAUAUAAAAUAACAGAAGUUAAAUUUGUAGUAUCGAACUAAUAAUUUUAUUCUUCUCCAACAAUCUGUAAUUUUCUCAGUGCAAUAGAGGACAUAUUGCAUUAUUUCCAAUAAUAUUGGGUCUGAUAAAAUCAUAUUUUUACACUACAUAUUGAACACCUCCAAGAUGACUCUAAGGCAAACUGAAACACUCUUAAAGCAUUGUCUAAUUAUGAAUGCUAUAAAAAUCCAUGCAUAACUGCUGAAAAGAUAAGUCAAGGUCUAUUCAUCUGUCUCAAAAUUAUUUUCUAAGAAUAUUCUACCAAUGAGGAUAAGAAUCUGUCCUCUAGACAAAUAGAUCCCAGGCAGGGACCAGCAGCUAUAGUUUAACCCUGAAGAAAAAUGCAAGACUUGGCAACUGUCCUGAAGCGAGGUUGCAAAAGUGGCAAGCUGCCUCAGGAAACUCAGGGGCAGUUCUUGGGUGAGUUUCUUUCUGGCAUCACCACUAGUGGAGAUCACAACAUACAUGUGAGGUGUAGAAUAGUGAGUCUAAGAAUAGCAAGGUGGAGCAAACCAAACCAAUGCUCAAUAUCUGUCUUCCACUGUCUAUGGGGUCAUACUUAUAUUCCACCAUCAUGAUUUCUUUCACGUAUUUGCUUUAGCAUAAUAUCCUUUCAUCACCCGUGUCUGCUUCAGGACAACACACAUUCCCGUGUCUGCUCCAGCAACACAUCCUUUUACCUGUAUGCCCCAGCAAAACAUCAUUUAACAUAGCUGGCUUUUCAAUGAAACUAGAAGUUUCCACUUCACAGCUACUUUCCAAUUGAUUACUGCCAUUCAAACAGGGCAUGCUAAUAUUACAAAUAAUAUUUUCCUUUCAUCUGUGAUUACCUCAAUCUCAAUUAACUUUUAAGAAGCACAUUAGCAAAGUCCUUUCCAUUUUGACUUAGCAGAAUCAACCUGAAGGGAGACUGCUCUUCAUGUCUAUUGUUAUCAUAAAUAAUUGAUUACCGUUAAGUGCCUAUCAAUACAGAAACAGAAAUACUAACAUUGUGAGAUAUAAUAUCUUAUUAUAUUGUAUUGUGCAGCACCUAAUGGUAGAAUAUGAAUAUGAAAACACUUGUGUGCUAAGCUGUUGUGGCAGAGAAAGUAACACAUCAAGUUAAUGAUUUAAAUUUGAAACUUCUUAUAUUUUUUAA
rnacentral:lncRNA from 1 species